GACGAACGCUGGCGGCGUGCUUAACACAUGCAAGUCGAACGGACAGACAGAGAGCUUGCUCUCUUGAAGUUAGUGGCGAACGGGUGAGUAACGCGUAAUCAACCUGCCCUUCAGAGGGGGAUAACAAUGGGAAACCGUUGCUAAUACCGCGUACGAUUCAUGAACGGCAUCGUUUAUGAAUGAAAGGUGGCCUCUAUGUAUAAGCUAUCGCUGAAGGAGGGGAUUGCGUCUGAUUAGGUAGUUGGAGGGGUAACGGCCCACCAAGGCAAUGAUAAGUAACCGGUGUGAGAGGAUGAACGGCCACGUUGGGACUAGGGCACGGCCCAAACUCCUGCGGGAGGCAGCAGUGGGGGAUCUUCCGCAAUGGGCGAAAGUCUGACGGAGCAACGCCGCGUGAGUGAUGAAGGUCUUCGGAUUGUAAAGCUCUGUUAAUCGGGACGAAAGAGUUCUGCGUGAAUAAUGCAGAAAAGUGACGGUACCGGAAUAGAAAGCCACGGCUAACUACGUGCCAGCCGCCGCAGUAA
rnacentral:rRNA from 1 species